AUCAGCAAUCAUUUGCGAAUUCGUGACAAGGGAACUCAUACUAUGCUCCAAGCAGAUCUAGUUGAGCACUUGUGGCAACGUCACUUGGCUAAUAUCAAUAAUUGAGGGUGUACAGCAAUGAGAGGUGAAGGAGCUAUUGCAGUAUUGGACGCUGC